UUAACUCAAAUUUGUAUGCAGUUGGAACAGCGCCCCUAGCGGCAAACGUAGGCAAACGUUCCAAUUCCAUACAAAUUUGAGCUC
rnacentral:pre_miRNA from 1 species